rnacentral:lncRNA from 1 species
GCCCAUCUGGUUCUAGGGAUGCAGAAAUCUUUUUUUCUGGUGCUUGGGUGUCUGGAGAUACUACAGUGUGACCGGUAUCAAGCGUUGAGUUUUAGCUUUUUGGACCACUGACUUGAAUGCUUAUGCCAUGCUAAAGUUGGCAACAUUACUGUAAUUUAUGUCCCACUGUAGUAAUGGUACAGCCAGGGUUGCCACCCUGGUACUCCCUGAUGGUUUUGGCCUCAAACCUGCAGGUCUGAGGGCUCGUUCUGCACAGGGCCUGGCACUGACAGCCCCAGGGUCAUGCAGAAAAUGGAGAAUUAAUCAGAUACAAGUUAGAGAAAGCUUCCGAAAUCUGAACAGAUGAAGAUCAAUUGAUAAAUCAACCCAGCGAUUCACCGUAAUUUCAAGAUUCUAACGAAACACCUGACUAAGGUGUUCCCUGUUUGAACAGCUUCCCAGGACCACCUGGCAAAAGGAGGAGACCUGCCAGUACAGGUGAAAAAAUGCCUGCAGUGUCAUGACACAAAAUAACCAUCCUCUGGAGUGUUAAGCAGUUGCAUGCUGUCUGUAGGCAUGCAUGUCAGCAGAGCAUUACCAGCCGUGGUUAAUAUGUCGUUAAAUCUGUUUAGUGAGCUUUGAAGCUGUGGUUUUCCCUUUUUUUGUGUGUUUCCUUUCCUCUUCCUGACUUAUUUCUUUCUUUCCUUUCACAGGCUGUGAUGUAUUUCUUUGUUUGUUUGUUUAUGCUUUUUUCACCCCCACUAUUUGUCUCUCUCCUCUACGUUAUCUGCUGCUUCUGUUUUCCUGCCUCACAUUUCCUUCUCCACUUCCUCUCUCCCUGAACUUAACUUACUCCUCCAUGUUUGUUUUGUGUUUUUUUUUUCCUCUCAGCUCUUUGAUGAAUGAGUUGGGUAUGUGUUCUCACUCACACACACAAGCAGCGUGUGGUUGUUUGAUCACAAUCUCAGUCCCAGUGCUGCUCCUUGUGCUGUUUUGCUUCCUUAGUUAAACCCCUAGAAUUGUAGCAUUUCUGGAAAACUUCGUUCUGUUAAAGGAGUGUGAUUAAAGGAGCUAUUCUUGACCAGAUUCAUCCCUCUUGACUCUGGGUGCCUAACAGAGGACCCUAAUUCAGGUGCAGGGUCAUCCUUGUCUUGCAUGGUCUAUGGGAAGAGAAGGGCUUCUUCAAAAACCGUUUGGGACCAGGAGGGACCAACCUGAUCUCAAAAGUAUCCCUGGCUCUCCACUGAGUGCCAAGGGAACUUUGAAUGACCACACUCCUUACCUGGGUGUCUCAGAUUCAUAACAGUCACCUGUUCAAAGUUUACAACGUUUUGAAUUCUGUCCUUCUUCUAACGUGAUGGAUUUUCAGGGGUUUGCCCCUAAAAUCAUCAAUGCAUCCAUGUAUAGCACUACGGAAACAAUAUAAUUGAACUUGUGUGCCUUAAAAACAAAAAAACAAACAAACAUAUUCAGUAUAGUGGGUUUGUGGAAAAGAAUAUUCUCUCCACCUCCAGUCCUUUUAAAAGGAGUUUUUCGUCUGUCCCUAUUCCUGCUCUCUGACUAAUCGGUCUUGUGCACUGAACUGAUGAACUGAUCUUUCUGCUGCCACUUUCCUCCCUCUGCUGGAAUACUGAUGCAUUCACGACACAGUGCAAAAAAAAAAUCACUACAGGAAGAAAGUUUACUAAAGGACAGCCUGAGGCCCAGGCAGCAGAAUUAGAUCUUGAGUGGGUAUGUAUAGGAAAAAUAAGUUGUGAAAGAGGGACAGGAAUAAAACACAACAACAGGUUUGAAAGAGGAAGAAGAUCUUUGAAAUAAAGGUACCUCUUUGGCUGGCACUUUUAAAGCAAGAGGCACUUCUGAGUAACUUGAUGAGUAUCAAUGAUAGAAACUGAAAAUUUGAUAAUCUAUUAGCUUGUUAAAGUACUUAGCUAAUCAACAGUAAUUUUGCCAAAUUAAGCCAUUUUACUUUUGUGUCAUUUGAUAUACAUACGUCAGUAAUGAUUAAAGAAAAAAGUCAUGAUGUAGAGCAUUAAUUAGAUAUAUCACAGUAAAAUCUAUUGCUAUUAAAAGGCAGGUGUUGGUGUCCUAUGGCUCUGUAUGGACACCCAUCACUACUUGCAUUAGGAUCAAUGUAAAAUAAAUAAUAAUAGAGGAUUUUUUUUUUGUAAAUUUGAGAAACUAAGAAUGAAAGAAAUCAGUAGUAGAUUUUUGUUUUCCUGUCUGGUUUUUACACCAUAAAAUUAGUUUAGGUUCUGCUCAGAUAUUCAAGAUUUUGAAUUUCAACGCCUGACAGACACGUCCCACUGAUGUUUUUAGCCUUCAUUAUAAGUAGCUAUUUAUAUUUUUAAGUAUAUUCUUGGAUAAUAAAGGAAUAGGGUCCUUCAUUCAUCAUUUAUCUUUCAGCUCUGGCCCCAUAAGCACCUCCUGCUCAUGCUGAGACCUAAAAUGAAGAGAGAGUCCAUGGGUUUGGGCAACAGCAGUUCAGUUAGAAACAGGUGUAACCGACAGAUCACGACCCAGCUCCAGAAGCUUUUAUUAGUCCUGCUACAACUUCCUGCGAUAGAAGUUGUUGUUUUUAUCUAAAUCUUGUAGAGUUUGAGUUAUUUUAAGGAAUUAGACUUGGAGUGACAGGGGAGAAGAGUUUCCCUCGCUGUUCUGCAGCAGAUGUGCGGUUUUACAAGAUACGUCCUGCGUGUGACAGAAGUUAUCACUGGGGCCGAACACUGAAUCUCCUUACAAUUACAGCCUGUCCCAUCCCCUGCCACGACUGCCCGAUGUGCUUGUGUGUUCAGCUCCCUUACACGCACAAACGAGGCAAGGCACAUCCCUAGCGGGUCGCGGUGCCGCGCUCCCAGGCUUGUAUUUCACCCAAAAUAGCGAAGCCUGGGCCGAGCGUGCACGCACACCUCCGCAGCGCUGCAGCGGGGCCGUGCAAACCCUUCUGUUUACUGUUUGGCCUGCGGCUGCCUGGUUUUGCAAAUACCAGCAUACCACCUAGGGGACUGACGGGCAGCCCCCGGUGCUGCCGCCCGCGGUCCCACGCUGCCGAGAUUUUUGUGUGGGAUGCAGCAGGUUUGGGUCCCUGCGAGCAGGGUGGGUGCAGGGGGGGGGCACAGGAACCUGGGCAGCAGAAAGGGUGCAGGGAGAGAGCAGCUUGCAAUUCAUAAAUUGAUUUAUUUUAAUUUAAAAUAUAUAUUAAUAAAAUAUAAAAAUAUAUUAAUGAAUUAAUAUAUUUUUAAUUAAAA